rnacentral:sRNA from 1 species
UUAUCCAUGGAACAGAUCUACAAUAUGGGUAGCAGCAGUUCAAGUUUCCUCACACUGCCACAUCAGUAUGUCUCAACCCUGACCUUGGAGGGACCAUCUCUAGGGUUGA